GGUAGCGUGGCCGAGCGGUCUAAGGCGCUGGUUUAAGGUUUCGGAGGCGUGGGUUCGAAUCCCACCGCUGCCA